rnacentral:lncRNA from 1 species
UGUCUCUGUGUGUGUAUAAAUGUGUGUGUAUGUAUGUAGGUGCGAGAGUGUCUCUGUGUUCGUAUCUGUAUGUAUGUGUCUGUCUCUGAUGUAUGUAUGUGUGUAUGUAUGCGUGUGUCUGUGUGUAUAUGUAUGUGUAUGUAUGUAUGUGUGUCUGUCUCUGUAUGUGUGUGUGUCUCCUGUGUAUAUGUAUGGGUAUCUGUGUCUAUGUGUCUGUCUGUAUAUCUCUGUGUGUGUCUGUGUAUGUAUGUAUGCAUGUGUGUCUGUGUAUGUCUCUGUGCGCAUAUGUGUAUGAAUGAGUGUGUCUCUAUGUUUAUGUGUGUGCAUAUGUAUGAGUAUGUGUAUGUAUAUGUAUGUAUGUAUGUAUGAGUAUGUGUACGUGUGUGUGUAUGUACGUAUGUAUAUAUGUGUGCAUCAUGCCCUCUCACAUGUGCUCCCUAAGGGCUGGGCAUACAUAUAACACCUCACAAUCUAGGCACUUUUCUUUUUGAAAUUCACUUUUUUUUUAAAGUUUUUUUUUUUAAUUUAAUGUAUGAGUAUCUGCAUGUACACCUGUGUGCCAGAAGAGGGCGCCAGAUCCCAUUGCAGAUGGUUGUGAGCUGGGAU